rnacentral:lncRNA from 1 species
AGGGUUGGAUGUAAAAUCAAUUUCAAAGGCUAUGGUGAUCAUUGUAUCUAUCAUCAGAGUUGCAUGGUUGCCGAAUAUGGAGAAAUCAAUGAGAGCAAGUUUGAAACGCCUCACGUGUGCAUCUGGUUUAGUACCUUUGACCAUUUAAAGCAAGGAAGCUUUAAUGGCGUCACUAAGGCCAUAUUUGACUUCUACCCAAUAAUAGAUGAUUGUCCUGAUGGCGGAGUCGUUGAUUAUUCCAUGAUUAAGGUGACAAAGUGUGGGAUCUUCCCAAUGUACGCCCCAGUUGUUGAUUUGAUAUUGGCAUCAAGGAUGAAACAGGUGAGGGAGCUAAACGUAGAAGCACACGAAUCAUUUCCUCAUUUAGUAGAUCUCAUGUUUAACAGGAGGGCAGUCAUUGGUAAUUUGAAAUUUCUUGAUCUGAGAGGAACCGCUAUUAAAAACCUACCUGCAAGCAUUGGUAAUUUGAAAUCUCUUGAGAAACUUGAUCUGAGUGGAACUGCGAUCAAGUGCCUACCUGCAAGCAUUGGUAAUUUGAAAUCUCUUGAGAAACUUGAUCUGAGUGGAACUGCGAUCAAGUGCCUACCUGAAAGCAUUGGUAAUUUGAAAUCUCUUGAGAAACUUGAUCUGAGUGGAACUGUGAUCAAGUGCCUACCUGCAAGCAUCAAAGAAGCUUCUCGGCUGAUUAGUCUGCAGUUAACCAAUUGCAGGAGCCUUGAAUCUUUACCAGAGCUUCCAGGGGUACGUUGGCUUCAAGCACAUGGAUGCACAUCACUCAAGCAAGUGUUGAGCUCAAAGACUGCGCUUACAUUAGGUUGGGAUGAGUAUAAAAAUUCUCAAGGACUUCAAGAGCAACUUACAUUUUCAAAUUGCAUAGAAAUGGGAUGGGAUGCUUGGUGUGAUUCGCAGUUUAGAAUUAUGCGAAUGGCAACUGCAUUGUCAAAGCACUUUAAACAAGAAGAUAUUGAAGUAGCAUCUCAUCUUGAGUUUGAAGAAGAAAGUAAAGUACGUCUCCCUCUCUCUCUCUCUCUCUCUCUCUCUCUCUCUCUCUCUCUCUAUCUCUCUCUCUCUCUCUCUGUUGUUAAAUUGAAUAACUCGGUUUCUCUGCUCUCUAACACAUUUAUUGAUGAACAGGAAUAUGUUUUUAGAUCUCCAGUCUGCGUUGUAUGUCCUGGAAAUAUAAUUCCAAGAUGGUUUUCAUAUGAAGUUGAUAAAUCUUUACUAUGGAUCAAACUUGGUCCAAACUUCUUUGACACUAAUUUUUUGGGUUUCGCUUAUUCGGUUGUUGUUGCAUUCAAGAAUUAUAAUGUUGGAGGGAGUUUGAGGGUUGGAUGUAAAAUCAAUUUCAAAGGCUAUGGUGAUCAUUGUAUCUAUCAUCAGAGUUGCAUGGUUGCCGAAUAUGGAGAAAUCAAUGAGAGCAAGUUUGAAACGCCUCACGUGUGCAUCUGGUUUAGUACCUUUGACCAUUUAAAGCAAGGAAGCUUUAAUGGCGUCACUAAGGCCAUAUUUGACUUCUACCCAAUAAUAGAUGAUUGUCCUGAUGGCGGAGUCGUUGAUUAUUCCAUGAUUAAGGUGACAAAGUGUGGGAUCUUCCCAAUGUACGCCCCAGUUGUUGAUUUGAUAUUGGCAUCAAGGAUGAAACAGGUGAGGGAGCUAAACGUAGAAGCACACGAAUCAUUUCCUCAUUUAGUAGAUCUCAUGUUUAACAGGAGGGCAGUCAUUGGUAAUUUGAAAUUUCUUGAUCUGAGGGGAACCGCUAUUAAAAACCCUAC